rnacentral:rRNA from 1 species
UACCCGCAGCCCGAGUGGUGGUCAUUAUUAUUGAGCCUAAAGCGUCCGUAGCCGGACUCGUAAAUCCUUGGGUAAAUCGGGCAGCUUAACUGUCCGAAUUCCGAGGAGACUGCGAGUCUUGGGACCGGGAGAGGUCAGAGGUACUCCAGGGGUAAGGGCUAAAUCUUGUAAUCCUUGGGGGACCACCAGUGGCGAAGGCGUCUGACUAGAACGGAUCCGACGGUAAGGGACGAAACCCUGGGGCG